rnacentral:rRNA from 1 species
AUGAACGCUAGUAAUAUGCUUUACACAUGCAAGUCGAGCGCUUUCUUUUUUUAGUAAGUGCGGCAUACGGGUGAGUAAAAGAUAGGAAUAUGCUUAGUAGACGGUCAAAAAUGACCGAUAAAUGCAUCUUUGCUCAAAAAAAGAUUAAUUUAAUCGCUACUAAAUUGGCCUGUUGAGGAUUAGAUAGUUGGUAAGGUAAAAGCUUACCAAGUCGAUGAUCUUUAGUCGGUUUGAGAGAAUGAACGGCCACACCGGAACUGAGACAAGGACCGGCGUCCUUUAGGGCGCAGCAGUGGGGAAUAUUGGACAAUGGAGGAAACUCUGAUCCAGCAAUAUUACGUGAGUGAUUAAGACUUUAGUAACCAUGUUGUAAAACUCUUUCGUCGAGGUAGAUUAUGACUUGACUCGAAAAAGAAGCCCCGGCUUAUUCCCGU